UACGAAGGGGGCUAGCGUUGCUCGGAAUCACUGGGCGUAAAGGGUGCGUAGGCGGGUCUUUUAAGUCAGGGGUGAAAUCCUGGAGCUCAACUCCAGAACUGCCUUUGAUACUGAAGAUCUCGAGACCGGAAGAGGUAAGUGGAACUGCGAGUGUAGAGGUGAAAUUCGUAGAUAUUCGCAAGAACACCAGUGGCGAAGGCGGCUUACUGGUCCGGUUCUGACGCUGAGGCGCGAAAGCGUGGGGAGCGAACAGG
rnacentral:rRNA from 1 species